rnacentral:rRNA from 1 species
UACGUAGGGUGCGAGCGUUAAUCGGAAUUACUGGGCGUAAAGCGUGCGCAGGCGGUCUGUUAAGACCGAUGUGAAAUCCCCGGGCUUAACCUGGGAACUGCAUUGGUGACUGGCAGGCUUUGAGUGUGGCAGAGGGAGGUAGAAUUCCACGUGUAGCAGUGAAAUGCGUAGAGAUGUGGAGGAAUACCGAUGGUGAAGGCAGCCUCCUGGGCCAACACUGACGCUCAUGCACGAAAGCGUGGGGAGCAAACAGG